CCAGUUCAAUAAAUAUUGCCUACAUCUGGAGAGCUUUUCUACUUAGAUAAGGAGUAUUAUUGAGAUUCAUAAUAUGCAAUUAUCUCACUGGUUACAUUAAAUAUUCAUAUAAUAAUUAUUAGUAAACUCAGGCUCCCCCUGAAGGUGUGCAUAGUAAACUCAGGCUCCCCCGAGGAUGUGCAGAAUCUCUUUUAAGACUGUUCCAGGCUCCCCCUGUCUUGAUGAACUGAUCCCUCAAUUUAGUUGUCUUCUCAUCAACAACUCCUUAUUCUUAGUUACUUCAUAAUUAUAUCACACAUACAACUACAACGAUUAGAUCCAUUAGAUGUUCGUGAUGUUCGUCACCUUCUUCUGC
rnacentral:lncRNA from 1 species